CAUUUUCACCUGAAAGUACUUGAGGGAGGAGAAGGCUUUUCCUGUCUGUCCUUGCAGUGAACUUCCCUUGAAUGUCAGAUCCUCCAGAUGGACCUUUUGACCAGAUUAGCUGGUGUCUUGCUACUGGGAUGGCAGAGAUUAAAAAGGACAAACACAUGCACUUGCUGUACGUUGCCUCCUCCACGUCAUCUGACUUACUAUGAGGAAGGGGAAGAUGAAGCUGAGCACGGUGAACCCCAGCCAGCGCAGCGUCCCCAUAAACACGAAGGCUGCAGGCCGACACGACUGGAU